rnacentral:rRNA from 1 species
AUGGAACCACACCUAAUUCCUAGCCCGGCCAUGGACUCGUCAUCUCCUUGGAGAACACUACUGGCCUCUCUCAUCAUACUCAUGGCGCUCGUCUCGCCCAACGCCGCCCUGCCGCCAACCCUCGGAGAGCAAGCGGGAGUGCUCCUGGCCUGGAGAACCACCCUCGGCCGCCAAGGCCAGCACGCCCUGCGGUCCUGGGGAAACACGUCGACGCUCUGCAGCUGGCGCGGCGUCAGGUGCGGCAUGCGGCGCCGGCCGGUGAUCACUGGCAUCCACCUGCGCGGGGUGCGGCUCGCAGGGACGCUCGGGUCCCUCGACUUCGCGGCCCUAAGGACCCUGACGAGCCUCGACCUCUCGCGCAACAGGCUCGCCGGGACCAUUCCUCCGAGCAUCGCGGUCCUCGGGGAGCUCCGUGCUCUGCUCCUGCAAGGCAACCAGAUAAGCGGCUCCAUCCCACCUUCUCUAGCAAACCUCACGAGGCUGCGUCUCCUAAUGCUCCAUGACAACCAAAUCUCCGGCGAAAUACCAGGGCAGAUAGGAGAGCUGGGUAACCUUGUGAACCUAGACCUGUCAGGCAAUCAGCUUGUUGGUAGCAUCCCCUGUGAAAUAGGCCACCUAAAUCACCUUGUCAGGUUGGAUUUGUCUGGCAACAAGCUCUCAGGUCCAGUUUCCUUCUGUCCAGCUAAUAACUCGACAGUAAAUUUAGAAAAUCUGAAUUGGCUGUCAUUAUCCAGGAAUAACUUAGCAGGUCCCAUUUCCAAAGACAUUGUGAAUUUAUCCAGCCUCCAACACCUAGACAUAAGCCAAAACAACUUUUCAGGCUCGAUCCCAAGCGAUGUAGGUGGCCUGAACAAACUCACAUUCCUGCAUCUUUCAGAUAAUCAGCUCUCAGGACAAAUUCCUCUUGAAAUCGGAAAAUUAGCGACGCUUAAGCAGCUUAACCUUAGUGCAAACCAUCUUGAAGGCUAUAUUCCAACUAGUUUAGGAAACUUAACACAGUUAACAACUCUAAAUCUUUCGACCAACGAGCUCAUCGGACCCAUCCCUAAAGAAAUAAGGAAUUUAGUGAACUUAGAAAGUUUGGGACUGGGACAGAACAAACUUACGGGGUCCAUUCCAAACAGUUUGGGGAAUUUGAAAAAACUCACCACCUUGGACCUUCACGAUAACCAACUUUCUGGAAACAUCCCUCGAGAGCUAGGUUAUUUAGUGAACUUGGAGGAACUCAACAUUUACAACAACACACUAAGCGGCUCCAUCCCAAAUAGCAUAGGGAACUUGACUAAGCUCACAACUCUAUACCUUUGCUAUAACCAAUUGUCUGGAUCCAUUCCACAAGAAAUUGGAAACUUAAGAAAUCUUGUUUGGUUGACGCUAAGUUCUAACAAACUCUCCGGUGCCUUGCCAUCUGGUCUUUGUUCGGGAGGCCGGCUACAAAAUUUCACCGCUUACAACAACAUGUUGGUUGGACCCUUGCCAACAAGCUUGCUAAGAUGCACAAGCCUGGUCAGAUUUCGCCUUGAACGAAAUCAGCUCCAUGGAGAUAUCUCUGAGAUGGGGGUUUAUCCGAAUCUUGUCUACAUCGAUAUCAGCUCAAAUAAACUAUUUGGUCAACUAUCUCAUCGCUGGGGUGAGUGCCACGGACUUUCCAUGUUACGUGCCUCAGAAAAUAGUAUCACCGGAGUCAUACCACCAAGCAUAGGGAAAUUGUCUCAGUUGAGGAUACUUGAUGUUUCAUCAAAUAAACUUGAAGGACAUAUUCCUCCAGAAAUUGGCAAUAUAAUGACAUUGUUCAAUUUGAGCCUCGGCAACAACUUGCUCAGGGGAAGUAUACCGCAGGAAAUUGUGUCUCUAAAAAAUCUGGAGUAUUUGGAUUUAUCUUCGAACAACCUAAGCGGACAGUUAGGAGGAUCUGUUGGGCAGUGCUUAAAGCUUCGCCUUCUGAAUUUGAGCCAUAAUCAACUCAAUGGUACCAUUCCUAUGGAACUAGGGAUGCUGGUAAACCUGCAAGGAUUGUUAGAUCUGAGUGACAAUUCAUUUAGUAGCAUGAUACCGACUGAGUUGGGUGAUCUUAGCAUGCUUGAAGCCUUGAAUCUUUCACAUAAUGCAUUAAGCGGCAGAAUUCCGUCAUCAUUUCAACGCAUGAACAGCCUCUUACACAUGGACGUGUCUUAUAACAAACUAGAAGGGCCAGUGCCACAAAGUAGGCUCUUCCAAGAAGCUCCAACCGAAUGGUUUGUUCAUAAUACACAUUUGUGCGGUGAUGGUGUGAAAAAUUUGCCCCCUUGUGACGACACUUCAAGCUAUCAAAAAGGAAGGAAGUCUAGAGUUAUUUUACUAGCUACAAUACCUGCCACUGUGACUUUUUUGUUCAUUACUGCACUGGCAACAUGGCAAUGUAAAAGGAAGAAAUCCAAGGCUGAAAGUGCAAAGGGACUGGAACAGGUCAAGAUGUUCGCCAUCUGGAACUUUGACGGGGAAGAUGUGUACAAGCAAAUUAUUGACGCCACAAAAGGAUUCAGCGAUGCUCACUGCAUUGGAACUGGAGGGAGUGGAUCUGUCUAUAGAGCCCAGUUACCAACAGGUGAAAUAUUUGCAGUAAAGAAGAUUCACACGAUGGAAGAUGACAAGCUAUUCCAUCGUGAAAUAGAUGCUUUGAUUCAUAUUCGGCAUCGGAACAUUGUGAAGUUAUUUGGCUACUGCUCUGCUGCUCAUCAGAGAUUUCUUGUGUAUGAAUAUAUGGAUAGGGGAAGCUUAGCGAAAUCUUUGCAGAACAAGGAAACUGCAAUUGAGUUGGAUUGGACAAGAAGAUUAAAUAUCACUAAGGAUGUUGCAAAUGCUCUGUCCUACAUGCAUCAUGAUUGCUUUGCACUGAUAGUCCAUAGAGAUAUAACUAGCAGCAACAUUUUGCUUGAUAUGGAUUUCAAUGCCUGUAUAUCAGAUUUUGGUCUAGCAAAAGUACUAGAUGGAGAUGCAUCAAACUGUACAAGGCUUGCUGGGACGAACGGAUAUCUUGCCCCAGAGCUUGCAUACUCAACAAGGGUGACAGAGAAGUGUGAUGUCUAUAGCUUUGGAGUACUCGUGCUCGAGUUGUUCAUGGGACAUCAUCCAGGUGAUUUUCUUUCGUCCAUGGCCAACAGAAGUACACCAUUUGAGGAUUUGUUGGACAUCCGGCUCCCAUUCCCCGAAACUGAGAUCGCAAGUGAAAUAUUCAAAGUGGUCGCAUUUGUUGUUUGUUGCAUAGAACCAAAUCCAUCAUACCGUCCAACGAUGCAACAAGCAAUCAAGGUGUUCUCUACAACUGAAAGACCUGAUGAGCUUGAUUAUCUGCAAACUGACAUUGUCAUCCCUUCCACCUGGUCGUGA